CGCGGGCAAUGUAGGGCUGAUCGAACCCACCCGUUAUAUCGAGGAUGAUUUCGAGGAGUUGACCAUCGACGGCGUGAGAAUGGAGUUCCAGAACACGCCUGGCACCGAAGCGCCAGCCGAGAUGAACACCUACUUCCCGGAUAUCAAGGCGUUCUGGGCUGCCGAGAAUAUUACUGGCACGAUCCACAACAUUUACACGUUGCGUGGUGCGCUGGUGCGUAAUCCAUUGGCGUGGUCCAA
rnacentral:misc_RNA from 1 species